rnacentral:rRNA from 1 species
GACGAACGCUGGCGGCGUGCUUAACACAUGCAAGUCGAACGAUGAAGCCUAGCUUGCUAGGUGGAUUAGUGGCGAACGGGUGAGUAAUACGUGAGUGACCUACCUUUGACUCUGGGAUAAGCCUGGGAAACUGGGUCUAAUACCGGAUACGACCAAUCUCCGCAUGGGGUGUUGGUGGAAAGCGCUAUGGAGUGGUUUUAGAUGGGCUCACGGCCUAUCAGCUUGUUGGUGAGGUAAUGGCUUACCAAGGCGACGACGGGUAGCCGGCCUGAGAGGGUGACCGGCCACACUGGGACUGAGACACGGCCCAGACUCCUACGGGAGGCAGCAGUGGGGAAUAUUGCACAAUGGGCGCAAGCCUGAUGCAGAGACGCC